rnacentral:rRNA from 1 species
GAUGAACGCUGGCGGCGUGCCUAAUACAUGCAAGUCGAGCGAACGGACGAGAAGCUUGCUUUUCUGAUGUUAGCGGCGGACGGGUGAGUAACACGUGGAUAACCUACCUAUAAGACUGGAAUAACUUCGGGAAACCGGAGCUAAUACCGGAUAAUAUUUUGAACCGCAUGGUUCAAAAGUGAAAGACGGUCUUGCUGUCACUUAUAGAUGGAUCCGCGCUGCAUUAGCUAGUUGGUAAGGUAACGGCUUAUCAAGGCAACGAUGCAUAGCCGACCUGAGAGGGUGAUCGGCCACACUGGAACUGAGACACGGUCCAGACUCCUACGGGAGGCAGCAGUAGGGAAUCUUCCGCAAUGGGCGAAAGCCUGACGGAGCAACGCCGCGUGAGUGAUGAAGGUCUUCGGAUCGUAAAACUCUGUUAUUAGGGAAGAACAUAUGUGUAAGUAACUGUGCACAUCUUGACGGUACCUAAUCAGAAAGCCACGGCUAACUACGUG